GCUUUUCACUGCCAUCAGAAGCAAAACUUUAUAUGGUGCCAGGGGCCCCUGAAGCUGAGAGCCCGCUGAUCAAUCUGUUUUCGAUCUGACUUCCACAUACACAGAGUCAGCCCUUUCAAGUGUUGGUUGGCUCCCCCGAGGGACAAUAAAAAACCCGCCAGAAAGAAGAGGCCGGAGAGUCUUUAGUAAGGAAGUCAGAAGCUGCCUCACUGUACAAGUCAGGCCACACGAGCCUGUCUGGCAAGUCAUGGUUCCAAGGCAAGAGGCCCCCUGCCUGGUUGGAAAGUUGGAAAAGGUCCCACCUGCAUACCGAAUUGCCCCUCGAGAAAAGGUUACAGAAAACUCAUCAUCCAGGCAGGCAAGGCCCAGAUAGAAAAGAUUAGUUAGCAAUGGGAGAAUGGAAAGUUCUAGAUAAACUUCAGGCUAUUUUGAGAUCUAAAGAUAUUGCCCACAGGAGCUUGAGCAUGUGGUUAGACUUUGGAUAGGCGAGAGUCCACGUUCCCCAGUGAGAUGGUCCGCCACCACCCCAGCUUCUCUCGGAAUAACCAGCUGCACCCCAGGCCUUGCGGUUCCCUCUCGUCUGCCCGCCUUCUCCUAGCUCGGAUGGCAGGGCCACGCAGAGGUCCCCUGCUGUGCGUCAGGCAGAGAGCCCCACAUCCCCAGCGGUCCACCUCUGCAGAGACAGGAGCUGGGCUGGGACCGACUCCACCACCUCAGCAAGGAAGCCUCGCUCAGGAGUGCCACCUACUGGAGGAAGGGAGAAGGGCAGAAAAACAGUCCAAGAAUUCAAAGGAGGAUGUCCACAUCCAAUAACAGUUAUGGGGAACGAUGUGCAAAGUGCAAUAAGAGAGGUUCAGAUAAGAUGCCACAGGAGUCCACAGGAGGAAUCUGAGGAAUCGUCAUUCCCAAACAAUUCUUCUUCCUGAAGUUCAAACCCCGUAGAAGGUCCAUAUCACUUGUAAAUGCAGUCAAGCGGAAUUUAAAUCUGUAGACAUGUAUCAAGAGCCUAUGAAGACGGUGUGCAAGACACGUUGCAUGUUUAAAGAAUUCUAAGACGAAAAGUAUUCCCAAAAUGACAGGGUUCAUUUGGUGCAGAGUCUCCUCCAACCCAUUUGCCCAGAAAUAAAUAUUUCCCAUUUUAUUUUGCCCUUAAUGUC
rnacentral:lncRNA from 1 species